GUGAGUUUUUCCAAAAAAUUGUUCUCUUGAAAUCUGAAAGAGCAGGGUUUUUCAAGCAGCAGAAAAUGUCUGAAGGCCAUUUUAGUGUUUCUUGUAGAUCUUCAGGCUUCAGCAAGCUAGAAACUGUCCUGAACCCCYGUCCCUAUCUCUGGUUUUGUUCAGGACCUACCUCUUUUAGGCGGGGGAGAGGGUCUUUGCUACCAUGGGUGUUUUCCCCUCCAGAAAGGUCUUGGAAUUACUGGCUGAUUGAUUGAUAGGCUUAAAGGAUCCUUCACAAAGCUUGGACUACUUAUUUUAUUAACCUGCUACAAUAAGCAUCCUUAGUGUUUUAGAGUAAGCAAUCAACUUCACCUGGAAGGAAAGUGUUCAGUGCRUGGAAGUAGAUGCCAGGUCCUAUCUGAGAAUGUCGCCAAGGGAGCCAGUGGAGAAGUGGAUUUAUAAAUAGGUAUAAAAUUCAGAAACUACUCAAGCRUGGUGAGAUUGAAGCUCUGCUAAGCCUGACAAGCUUGCAGUGAAUACCCAACAUCUGCAGAAAUCCUCCCAGCCACUCUAAUUCCCAGCAUCUUGAGGAGCUGCAUCCGGACUGACCUGCACCCGGUUCAACCCCAGCGGCUCCAGGAUCUGCCCAGAUCAGCCUCGUGAUUUCCCAGCACGGAGCCUGGCCCACGUCGCGGUGCGGAGCGCAACACGGUGCCCUUUGCCGGGUGCUGCAAAGGCAGGAGGGUGUUUCUGAGUAACRCCAGACUUCUCCCUGCAACGGCCAGAUAGUCCCGACUGUUGAGUAAGCUUAAGCUUUUAGGCAAUUUGGGGUUAUUUUCUCACUAUUCCCCUUUAAAAAGCACAAUAACAUUGAUUUUACACUUCAUGAAAUCUAGAAAACUGAGGAUUUGAGCAGUUGUCAGAGGUUCCCAAGUAAUCUUUGCAAGAGGAACUGCAAAGCAGUGUAAGAUGUGCUUUUACUUUAUAACUACGUGGGCCUUCUUGAAAUGUUUAGCUCCUUUUCUCCAGCCUCGUAUUUUCUCAGUAACGAUGUAUUCCUCUGCGGGGGUGGUGGCUCCCCUGCCUGGGCUCCACGCUCGCUUCCCGCUAGGAGCAGUUCUUCAAAGCAUCCCUAGAAGGUAACCUGCAAGUUAUCAAUUAUUUUGGACCCAAUCUGCCUCUUAUAAGCAGAACCAUCUCUAUCAUAGUACUAGAAACUCGGCCAAAUUACCGCUGCGACUAUUGAAAGCUCUUAUUUGUCAAAGACUUUUCCCAUUUGCCAAAACAGCCUCCUCAUUCACCCGACAGCUCCUGAACAGCUUGUGAAAUGCGAGCCCRAGGUCUAAAGACUCGGUCGCGUUCUGCUUGAUGGCAGGAACAUGCGUGGAGCAAGGUGUGAUGGUGGGAGAAGUCCAAAGGCAGCAGUUGUUAAUCUCCUCCUCAGAUUCAGGUGUCUAAAAAGAAGCAUUUUGAGCUGAGAACACUAAAUAAUAACAAUAAUAAUAAUAAUAAWAAAGACUGGAGUGGGUUUGGGCUAUGAGCUCUGCAUGCUGGCAAGGAAGGCUCUGCUUCCUUCUCUGCCAACCUAAACCAGGAAUAUUCCCACCUCAACUAGAGCUCUGGAGGCAGCAACCAGAAUGGGGAAAAUCACACCUCACAUUUAAACCUUUUCUGGAAAUACCGAGGUCUUGUGGAUGGAUCCUACGCAGGUUUUCUGUCUUCAUGAGCCUGAUGGUUUUAUGUUUUUGUGAGGGAUGAUCAAUGGAGCCCUGUCUGGGCACCUCUGAGGUGUGGAGACAUCUCCUCAGGCUUCCUUCUCCUGCAUCCCGCUAGACCAGGGCGGCGUGUCGUGACGUUGGGCAGCUCUGGCCUGGUCUAAUGGGGCAACGCAGAGAGCAGGACAGAGAGCUGGGACAAACUAAGACUAUUUUUCUCUCCCAUUAAGAACUACCAAAAUAUUUUGCAAAGGAAAGCCAAUAAAAAAUAAUGAAACUAGGGUAAAUGCAAGCAAUCCAUAUUYAACAUACAGUGACUCAUAUAAUGCUUCUCUCACACGCAAAGUUGCUUUUAUACUUCUCUGUAAUCCACACUCCUCUUAGGCCUGAAUAUUAAAUUUUGUGGGACUCGAUGCUCAAAGCCAGGACUAGAGAGGCUCAUCCCAUUGCGUGGCCGCAUCGCAGCCAAGCCCCAAGCGCCUUUUCCAGGACACUGCGACCAAAGUUUGGCUCCUCCAAGACUGACAUCACUUAACAGAACUGCUGAAUUCAGCAGGAACAGCCUUCGAUUGCCACGAGACAGCCAGCAGCUUCGUCACCUCAAAGGACAACUCACCCGAGCUGGGAGGACCAAGCAAAACAAGCUCAGCAAAUGCAUGCUCAGRGUGCAGGGUCUCUGCUCCCUUUUCCUCCUUGCCAAUGGACAGAGACACCCUACCARGUUCUCUGGGGUUCUCUGAGCAGUCACAGUGUGAUGGGGUUGCUUAAAUGUUGGAUUUCCAGCUUCAUACGGAAAGCCACAGGGAAAACAGAUUUGGAAAAUACCCAUUUUGUUUGCAACCCUGAACCAAAAUGAGUGAGUUCUGUCAAAUAAAGAAUUUCUUCAGCCUCAGCAGAUGGAAUUUCUUAGAUUUAAAUCUAAAUGAGAUUCAUCAUGAUCAUCAUAAAAUCAUCUGUACUGAAGAUCAUUUUUGGUCA